ACCUUCGUGGUGUAAUUGUCAGCACGCUCAGCUAGUAUUCGAGAGGUCCGAGGUUCGAGUCCCGGCGAGGACA
rnacentral:tRNA from 1 species